GCAAAAUUCGCCCGCUGUAGUCUGCAGCCAUUGCCCUUGGAGCACUCUGUUCCAAGUUAUAUUCUUGGACUGGCGACACACACACCUUAUGUUCCCUUGGCGGCAGUCGUCCAGUUCCUAAAGGUAACUUUAUAGCUGGGACCUUAAUGCUGUGGCCACCAUAUCCAUCUACACACCACACGGGACCUUAGAAUUUCUCAGGAGUGCCAUGUAGGAGCAUGCAGUCAGCUCCAGGAUCUACCAGGGCUAGCACGCAUUGCACAUUUGCUGAGGACCAACGUAUAGCUAACUCCACAUGCGGUUUCUGGUCCCUGUUUGUCUCCUGCAAACAAGCACCUCGGCCUUUGCCCUACUCAGAGGCAAAAAGGGCAUCUUCCCCUGCUUGGGGCUGCAGAUAACACAUGGUCCUCGAGAUGCAGGACCCAUGCCCGUGCUCUUGACUCCUUGAGUCCUUCUUUAGACGUGGCCCCCGCCUCAUGGAUGUGAACUUCUGAUCGCCCUGGAGCUGCUGCCACAAUUCCAGCAAAUAUGCAUUAGACUUGCCUUGAUCAACCCCUGCCCUUUAGAGGUCUGUCCACGUUUAGGUGUGGGUAACUCCCAUGGGCUUAUUCGUCAUCUUUCUGGGGGUGCUAGCAUGUUUGAUAACAGUAUGAACCCCUCUUCCCUGGUGCUGGCUCUGCCUCACCUAGAAGUGCCACCGUUGUGGUUACGUCUUUAAUCCUUCACCCCGCAUACGAAGCCACAACAGUCAUUAAAGACCCAACGGGUGCUAAGGGGGCACUCCGUGGCACGAGGUCCCUCAUUCCUGCUGUAAAACACGCCUCAUGAGGCCAAUGAGCAUUAGGAUUAAACACGGCUUGUGGCAUCCCCCGUUCUCAUAACACUUGUACCACCUCGGCAUACGGUGACGGAGGCUAACUUUUCCAUUUCCUGGGUGGAACAAAUAACACAUCCACCACUAAAUUCCAUAACCUCGUAACCAGGCAGCCAGCAUUUCGACUGGCCAUUGCUGGAACUGUUUGCUCUGGUCCACCAGCUCUGCCUGAGUGUAAGGGCACUAAGUGGUAACUCUGUCAUUUGUGGAGGCCCAACAGCAUGACUCCCCGGGGCCAUCGGCUGCUGUAGUUUGGUUUUCUGGCCUACUACCAGAUGCACUGUAGUAGUGAGGUAGGCUCUUCCUCUUCCUCAACCGAAGGUCCUUUCUUUGGAGUGUCUGUGGACUAGUCCCUGGAGUUGGCACCCUCCUACUGAGCCUCCAAACACUCACAGAAGGCUGCCACCUCGUCCUGUAGGUCUUGUACUUUGCUGGACUCAAGUAGCAGUCAUGCUCUGCCCGCAGGGUACCCAUAGCCCACCCACACCCACAGCCCAUCCCACAGCCCUGGCCGAGCCAUUUUUCCAAAGCCUCCCCUACUGCAUGCAGGGCUUUCUCUCUCUGCACAGGGGACCUGUCCACCUCACACCAUUUCUGGGGGUGGGAGGGUGGGGUGCACCCAGGUACACAGGCUGGUCACUGAGCACUGCAGGCUUGAGGGCGGCCACUUCUGGACACCUCCCAAAGGGGCUGAAGGUUGCGGUGAAUCCUGCCCACUAUGCCCACUGUUCUGCUCUCUCUUGAGAACCAGGCAAAUUCAGUAUGGAUUCAGGCAACCUGAAGAAGAGCCGAGGUGCUGUGGGUAGGUGAGACAUCCCUUUGUUAGCUUCACAGGUGGCAGCAGCACAGCGGGGAAAGCGCCGCUGGCCUUUAUGCUGGUACAGAACAAGGCUGGCAGUUUGCUGGUGUUGCCUGAGAGAGGGCCUCCUCCCGUUGUCCUGCACAUGCACGGGUGUAACUAUCAUCAUACAACAGCUGAUGCGCCGUCACUCCUCACCGGAAUUCUGUGGCGGCUGGGCAGUCAGCCUGAGCUCUUCCACUUCCCAUCCCUCUCCAGGCAUCCAUGUCUUGUUCUUGAUCUUGGUGGAAAUGCUUUCGGCUUUUCACCGUUGAGAAUGAUGUUCGCUGUGGGUUUGCCACGUAUGGCCUUUAUUAUGUGGAGGUAGGUCCCUCUCUGCCCACUUUCUGGGGCGUUUUUAUCAGAGAUGGUUGUUGAAUUUUGUCGAAAGCUUUUUCUGCAUCUAUUGAGAUGAUAAUAUGGUUUUUAUUGUUCAGUUUGUUGAUGUGGUAUAUCACAUUGAUUGAUUUGAGGAUAUUGAAGAAUCCCUGCAUCCCUGGGAUAAAUCACACUUUAUCAUGGUGUAUUAUCCUUUUUUUUUUUUUUUGGUUUUAAUAUUGACAUGAUUGCUUUUUCUUAAGUAAUCAAAUACCUGAUAAAGACAGUGUGAAGCACAGUAAAUUAUUUUGGUAGGACACAAAGUCUUUGCUUUCUAAGCAGAUUAUUUAAAAGGUAAAGAAAAUUGUUUGUUUACAAUUUCUUAUUAAGACCAGAACAACAAUCUUUUAAAAAAUUUUGUCCUUUUAGCAGAGAGAAACUAAAUUCUAAUUUUGCUUUGAAAUACUUUUGAUAUUGAAAUUUAUUUUUGGAAAACUUCAUUUCAAAAAAAAAAAAAAACCUUCAUUUCAAUCUCAGCCAGCUCAACUGCGCAUAAAACUCCUUUUCCAAGAUUCCCUUUCCACAGAUCUUCUACAACUUUCUUAUAUCUCUUCAGAUUUUAUCUUAUUUUCCGCCUUAUUUCCAAUUCUGGAAUAACUAGUCAUUUUACUUUGGGAAAAAAUUACUUUCUCUUUUCCCUCGCCAAAACAAAAUAAAAUGAAAAACAAAAAAAAA
rnacentral:lncRNA from 1 species